rnacentral:rRNA from 1 species
UACGUAGGGUGCGAGCGUUAAUCGGAAUUACUGGGCGUAAAGUGUGCGCAGGCGGCAGAGCAAGUCGAGUGUGAAAGCCCCGGGCUUAACUUGGGAAUUGCGCUCGAAACUACUUUGCUGGAGUGUGGCAGAGGAAGGUGGAAUUCCACGUGUAGCGGUGAAAUGCGUAGAGAUGUGGAGGAACACCAAUGGCGAAGGCAGCCAUUCUGGGCCAAACACUGACGCUCAUGCACGAAAGCGUGGGGAGCAAACCAGGA